UACGUAGGGGGCAAGCGUUGUCCGGAAUCAUUGGGCGUAAAGCGCGUGUAGGCGGCCCGAUAAGUCCGCUGUGAAAGUCGGGGGCUCAACCCUCGAAUGCCGGUGGAUACUGUCGGGCUAGAGUGCGGAAGAGGCGAGUGGAAUUCCUGGUGUAGCGGUGAAAUGCGCAGAUAUCAGGAGGAACACCGAUUGCGAAGGCAGCUCGCUGGGACGUUACUGACGCUGAGACGCGAAAGCGUGGGGAGCAAACAGA
rnacentral:rRNA from 1 species